UACAAUGCGGAAUGCAGUCUGGUCAUCAACAGAGAGUUUUGACACCCGUAUACCGGUACCUGUAUUUCAACUAAUUAGCUCUUCAACCUUUGUUGCUUUCAUCAGACAGAUGCACCAGAUGCAGUGGCACUGUCUCCAUCACUGGUGAAAUGGGAUAUGACUAGUGGACAGUCAUCACUUUGUAACUCACCAACACAAUUAGCAGCCCAUCUCUUCUUGUCUCCAAUGGUGGUCUCCGGAGGAAUGGUUGCAGUGCAGUUAUCAUGUCUUGGGCAGGUCUGCUGCAUGUUUGCCAUGAUGCUGUUUUAACAUUAGCAUCAAUAAGCCAUGCCUACCCUCUACUUGUGGUACCCAAGUGACCAGCAGCCAUGGUCAUAUUCAGCUGUGCAGCUCUUCAUCCCCUGCCAGAUCUUCCCACCUCUUUGUAUAGCUUUUUUCGGUGAAUGGUAUUUGGCACUUCUUACAUCUGAUGGAAAAGAUCCAAAUUGCCAUGUUUUUCUCCUGAUGCUGAUUCCAGUCCAGUAAAUGGUCAUUACAGUUUGGAAACUUUUCUUUCAUGCAUUAUAAUAACUUCCGGAGUUCCAUCGUAUGCCAAUCUUUGAGAAGAGGAGCCAUUUUUCCAUGUUUAAUGACUUUCACACUUGGAUUGA